UGGGGAAUUUUGGACAAUGGGCGCAAGCCUGAUCCAGCAAUGCCGCGUGCAGGAUGAAGGCCUUCGGGUUGUAAACUGCUUUUGUACGGAACGAAACGGCUCUGGUUAAUACCUGGGGCUAAUGACGGUACCGUAAGAAUAAGCACCGGCUAACUACGUGCCAGCAGCCGCGGUAAUACGUAGGGUGCGAGCGUUAAUCGGAAUUACUGGGCGUAAAGCGUGCGCAGGCGGUUAUAUAAGACAGAUGUGAAAUCCCCGGGCUCAACCUGGGAACUGCAUUUGUGACUGUAUAGCUAGAGUACGGCAGAGGGGGAUGGAAUUCCGCGUGUAGCAGUGAAAUGCGUAGAUAUGUGGAGGAACACCGAUGGCGAAGGCAAUCCCCUGGGCCUGUACUGACGCUCAUGCACGAAAGCGUGGGGAGCAAACA
rnacentral:rRNA from 1 species